GGAGCCGGCUCUACCCCCCGGGGCCGGACCGCUCGGCGACCCCCGCUCUCCCCCCGGCGGGGGUCGCUCUUU
rfam:Thermobispora bispora DSM 43833, complete genome.